rnacentral:tRNA from 1 species
GCCCCGAUAGCUCAACUGGAUAGAGCGCCUGACUUCGGAUCAGGAUGUUGGGGGUUCAAAUCCUCCUCGGGGCG